rnacentral:misc_RNA from 1 species
GAUGAAGAACGUAGCGAAAUGCGAUAAGUAAUGUGAAUUGCAGAAUUCAGUGAAUCAUCGAAUCUUUGAACGCACAUUGCGCCCUUUGGUAUUCCGAGGGGCAUGCCUGUUCGAGCGUCAUUUCAACCCUCAAGCUUCUGCUUGGUAUUGGGCUUUCAUCCCACUCUUCUUUGGAAGAGAGGAUGUGCCUGAAACUCAUAGGCGGUCCUAAUCAACUCCUUUGCGUAGUUAAUUUUUCUUUCGCUCUGGAGAAUUUGGUUGGUAAAUCUGCCUAAGAAACUCUUUUUUAUAUUAAAGGUUUGACCUCGGAUCAGGUAGGGAUACCCGCUGAACUUAAGCAUAUCAAUAAGCGGAGGA